rnacentral:lncRNA from 1 species
UAUAUAUAUAUAUAUAAUAUGUAAUACAUUCAGAUACCUGGGGAUAAUAUCUACCUGGGAAUGGGUGGAUAAGGCAGUUUAUUCACCAUUGUUAACAUUAAUAACUUGGUAUGAAAUAGUUUAUGCGUCCCUAUCUCAAGGACAGCCAGCUGAAAGGUUUCAGUAAAGAUAAGUAGAGAAAGAUAAAAGAAGAUACAGGUCCUUCCGAAGGAGAGAAGACCGUGUUUGGGGAGUGUGCGUGUUUACAGUGUAUCAGCAGAGAACAAGCUUGGAACCUGGAGCAGGAAUCCCAAAUUGGGUCCAAGCUCUGUCCACCACUGGAGAUCAGACUCCCUGGACAAUAUACAGUGAACCUGCUGGGAAGGUCUGCCAGAAGCUGGCCAGCACAAUGACGGUUGCGCCUCCAAGAAGAGAGUCAGUGCUACAGCCUGAGUCAGCCUUGACUGCACUGAGCCACUGCCCAGGCCAAGACAACUGAAUCCCCAGAGGAGAGAGGGCUGGGUGAGAGUGAACUCAGAGGAGAACUUGAAGGCUUCGACCUCAGUUGCCACUCCUGUCAGCUUCACAGCACAUCCCUCUGAAUAAACUUGUCUGAUUGAAUAAUCUUUUGCCCUCU